rnacentral:rRNA from 1 species
UGCGUAGGCGGUGCAGAAAGUCGGGAGUGAAAUCCCACAGCUCAACUGUGGAAUUGCUUUCGAUACUGCUGUGCUUGAGUGAGAUAGAGGUAAGCGGAACUUAGGGUGGAGCGGUGAAAUGCGUUGAUAUCCUAAGGAACACCGGUGGCGAAGGCGGCUUACUGGGUCUCUACUGACGCUGAUGCACGAAAGGCCAGGGUAGCGAACG